CCUACGGGAGGCUGCAGUGGGGAAUAUUGGACAAUGGGGGCAACCCUGAUCCAGCCAUGCCGCGUGAGUGAUGAAGGCCUUCGGGUUGUAAAGCUCUUUUGGCGGGGACGAUGAUGACGGUACCCGCAGAAUAAGCCCCGGCUAACUUCGUGCCAGCAGCCGCGGUAAGACGUAGGGUGCGAGCGUUAAUCGGAAUUGCUGGGCGUAAAGCGUGCGCAGGCGGAUUGUUAAGCAAGAUGUGAAAUCCCCGGGCUUAACCUGGGAAUGGCAUUUUGAACUGGCAGUCUAGAGUGCGUCAGAGGGGGGUGGAAUUCCACGUGUAGCAGUGAAAUGCGUAGAGAUGUGGAGGAACACCAAUGGCGAAGGCAGCCCCCUGGGAUGACACUGACGCUCAUGUACGAAAGCGUGGGUAGCAAACAGGAUUAGAUACCCGAGUAGUC
rnacentral:rRNA from 1 species